rnacentral:rRNA from 1 species
CCUACGGGGGGCUGCAGUGGGGAAUAUUGGACAAUGGGGGGAACCCUGAUCCAGCCAUGCCGCGUGUGUGAAGAAGGCCCUCGGGUUGUAAAGCACUUUCAGUGAGGAAGAACGCCUGGUGGUUAAUACCCAUCAGGAAAGACAUCACUCACAGAAGAAGCACCGGCUAACUCCGUGCCAGCAGCCGCGGUAAUACGGAGGGUGCGAGCGUUAAUCGGAAUUACUGGGCGUAAAGCGCGCGUAGGUGGCUUGAUAAGCCGGUUGUGAAAGCCCCGGGCCCAACCUGGGAACGGCAUCCGGAACUGUCAAGCUAGAGUGCAGGAGAGGAAGGUAGAAUUCCCGGUGUAGCGGUGAAAUGCGUAGAGAUCGGGAGGAAUACCAGUGGCGAAGGCGGCCUUCUGGACUGACACUGACACUGAGGUGCGAAAGCGUGGGUAGCAAACAGGAUUAGAUACCCUAGUAGUC